UACAGAGGUCUCAAGCGUUGUUCGGAUUCAUUGGGCGUAAAGGGUGCGUAGCGGCGCGGUAAGUCGGGUGUGAAAUUUCGGAGCUUAACUCCGAAACUGCAUUCGAUACUGCCGUGCUUGAGGACUGGAGAGGAGACUGGAAUUUACGGUGUAGCGGUGAAAUGCGUAGAUAUCGUAAGGAAGACCAGUGGCGAAGGCGGGUCUCUGGACAGUUCCUGACGCUGAGGCACGAAGGCCAGGGGAGCAAACGGG
rnacentral:rRNA from 1 species